GUCCAGGGAGACGAUUUAACCACGGUCACAUGCUGAGCAGCCACAGAGCUGGGACCUGGCCCUGGGUCUCCUGACUCCACGGGCUGUGUGAUGUGUACAUACAGGAUCAGACCUUGCCCUUUCCUUCUAGCUGACCCUUUCCUAGCCCCCCAUGUCCCAUGUGUGAGCACCCAGCUCGCUCUCGUUUCUCCCUCUCCAGAGUGUGGUCCCUGGCAGCACGAGUGGGAGAAGGGACAGCAGAGACUGUGGAACCCUCAGCUGCAUCUAAGUCCUCUGUGUGGUCUAGCUGUGUGUGCUUGGGGAGGCUUUUGGCCACCAUUUUCCCCUCUGUAAAUGAGACCGAUGCCUGUGGCAUGGAGGGCGGGAGGCAGGUGUGAGUGCCAAGCACUUGGAGCAGGGCCCUGAGUGAGCAUGGACAUGGGAGGAGGUGUUCCUCGACUUUAUAUACCUUGGGGUUGGGAGCGGGGCUCCCUGUGUGGGUGGACAAGGCAUUGCUUUUCCCCACCCCACCUCUGUCCCAGCCCUGCAAGUCAGUCCUUGGGGGUCUAGGAGGGAAGAAGCCCCUGGCUGUGUGACCUUGGGCUGGUGCCUGGCCCUCUCUGGCUCUGAGUUCCUGGGAAAGUCAGCACCCAAGGAACACCCUCCAGUUUAGCACCUUGACAAGAAGGGUGGGGACACUGGGAUCAGGCCCACCCCUUUGGUCCCAAACCCCUUGGCCCCAGCUGGAGGAUGAUGAGACACUGGGCUUGCAUGGGGGAAUCGGGUGUAAAGGGGCCUGUUCACCCCUCAGCUUGGCUGAAAGGCUCAAGGCAUCAAAGGCUCAGCCUGCCCCUCAGGAAGGAGCCCGGGCCCAGCCAGACACUCACCAGGACAAGGGCAACUGUGACGAGCAGGAGGCCCAGGAUGAGGAGAGCCACGGCAUAGUUGGAGCCUCGUGCCCUCAACCCCAGAACCCUGGUCUGAGUCCUGGGUCACCCAGGACCACCCUGGACCCACUGGAAUUCCUCCACCACCACUUGGUCAAAGUUCUGCAGAGGUCUGAGGACAAGGGUCAGCUCGGGGGUCAGGAGAGGAUGAAGAGGUUCACAGCUCUACCAGACGAAGCCUCAUUCCUUGUGGUGCCCGGCCCACCCCUCUGAUGUGGGCCCUAAACCUCCAGCUGGCCCAGCCCUGCAGAGUAGGUGCCCAAAGGCAUCUGUAGCCAUCCCUGUCAUGCUGGUCUCCCCCAGGGCCCCUUCUGGAACCUGUUACCACAGAUCUCACGGUGGGGGGUACAGCUCAGUCUCCUUCCUUCUCAUCCCCCUCCUAGGGGCUUUGUCCACCAAGGCCCCUGACUGCUAGGGGACCCACACCCAUGGCCUCCUUCUUUCUGACUGCUGGCCCUUUCACAGCCUGGAUACUUGAGCCCUGGGCAGAGGGGUAAUGAUCCCAGGACUGUCUUCACAAGCAGAGAGGGUACUAGGACCUGACUCCUUGCGCUGAGCUGAGCAGCAGGCAUGUCACCAAGGCCCCCUUGGCAGAAGGGGCUUAGUCCUGACAGCCAAUCACUCACCAUCCCUCAAUGUUCCUGCUAGGCAUCCACCCUGGGGACCCAGCUUUCCCCCUGCCCCCAGCUGCUGGCAGCCCCAUCUUGACUCAUCCAGGGUCCUGGAGGCCACUCC
rnacentral:lncRNA from 1 species